UUUCCUUAUUUAUUCAUUCAUUUAUUUAUUCAUUUCAAGCUUUUCUGUGGCAUAUAUUCAUCAUCAGUCUUCCUUUUUGUAUUGUUUACAGACUCAUAUAUCACAUUUUCCGCCUCGCUCAUCCUUUCCCAUUAAUAAAGGUAAUAACGCUAUAUCCCUUGGGUCUCAAAACGCAUAUUUCAUAAGUUUGGGCGCAAUUUAUGCAUGAAAUCUAAUGGCAUGCCGCGGGGAGCCGGUGCAGAUGGCCUAAUUAGAUGAGUUAAAUAAUUGCAGUGUUUCAUAUUUGCCAUAUUAUGUUAUAACUAAUGGGAGGAAAGAAAUGUAAGACGGAAAAUUAGAUAAUGAAUAAUGAAUGACUAAAGUGUGAUGGAGAGAUGGAGAAAUGAUAAGGAAAAGGAAGAGAACAAAAAAGUACACCCAAAAUUUAAGUAGUUAUUUGACAAAGAAGAACAAGUUAGACAAAAAGUAGUUAAGUUGUAUGUAAGUAAGUAAGGAUUUUCGAAGAUACUAGAAACACUUGAACAACGAAAGUAUAGGUAAUAGAUCAUGAAUGUUUUAUAAUAUGCAGUGGAGAAUAAGGUUUAAAGAAAGUAAUGCUGAUGCUGAAAAGGAAUGAAAAAAACACCCUAAACUUAAGUGGUCAUUUAAAACGGGCGAGCAAGAGAUAUGGUAAGUAAUGAUUAAGCAGAAUAAUGGGGGGCUUUUCAAACAUACUGCUUGGUCACAAUAAUUGAAAGACGAAUAAGUAAUAGAUAACGUGUUUUCGUAUGUUCUUAAAUAAUUCCCUUCAACUAUAUAUCUUAGAAUGUCUUAUUUUCUCUCUAUCCAUCAUCAUUUAUCCAUAAUAGCAUAAAUAAACACUCAAUUAUCCACUAUCAUUACCUUCGUCUUUUUAGUAUUUAAUUUUAAGUAGUAUAUUUUCCCUUUAAUUAGCUCUACGGUAUCUUAUCUGCGUCUUUUAAUCAUUAUCUUCACUCUAUCCAUCAUCAUUUAUCCAUAAUAGCAUAAAUAAACACUCAAUUAUCCAGUCUUUUUAGUAUUUCAUUUUAAGCAGUAUAUCCUCCCUUUAAUUAGCUGUAGAGUGAUUUAUCUGCGUCUUUUAAUCAUUAUCUUUACUCUAUCCAUCAUCAUUUAUCUUGAAUACUCUAUAUAACACCUCAAUUAUAUACUAUUACUACUACCAUUACUCUCGCCCUAUUACUCAACUUCAAACUUGGCGGGCUUCCGAGCGGCCAAUCAGCGGGCGAGUCUGUCUCCGCGCGCUGUGAUUGGCUGGCGGGACACACGUGGGAAGACGGGCAGGGAGGCAGCUGAGUGAGCGGAUGUGAGGGCCCUCUGACGAGCUUCUGUUGGAGUCAUUAACUAAAAUUACAAUAGGUGUUGGCGGUCACCUGGGGCUGGGACGACCGAGGGAAGGCCAGGUGUGACUCUUAUUGUGGGCAGCGGCAGUUCGUGUCUUUGGUAAUACAUGAGAUCAUACACCGACCACCUGGAUGAAGACAACCCCUGCACAGAGAACACAGGAAGGUAGAUGCAGAGGAACCACAAAGAACGCAGGAAAGUAGACGAUGAAGAUGGAAUGUCCAAGGCCUCAACACCUGCGAGAGAACAGCAGCGGAACAAUGAGGAUGCUGGACAGUAGAUGAUGAAGAACAAAUAACGGAAAAUAGACGAAGAUGGAACGUCCAAGGCCUUGACACCUGCGAGAGAAUGAGGAUGCUGAAAAAUAGAUGAUGAAGAAGCACAGAAUGAAUGCAGGAAGGUAGAUGAUGAUGAACAAGAACAUCGGAAAAUAGAUGAAGAUGGAAUGUCGGAGGCCUCAACACCUGGGAGAGAACGGCAGCAGAACAAUGAGGAUGCUGGAAAGUAGAUGAUGAAGAAGCAGAGAAUGAAUGCAGGAAGGUAGAUGAUGAUGAACAAACAGCGUCGGAGAAUAGAUGAAGAUGGAAUGUCUGAGGCUUCAACACCUGCAAGAGAACAGGGUCAGUAUUCUCAGACUCAUCCGCCUCUCAGAGCAACUAUUUUCAAAGACCAAAAAGGAGAUUAAGCAGCAGUAGUUGUAGAAGUUUGCAUAAGUGGUGAAGGACAAAGAAGAUAGGAAGAGGAGAAGGAGGGGCAUAGUAGUAGAUGUUUGCAUUAGAGGUGAAGGAUAAAGAAGAUAGGAAGAGAAGGAGACGCAACAGUAGUAGAUUAAGCGAAGUCUGAUGAGUGUUUUCUUACUUUCAUGGCACAGAAGAAUGAUCAAACUACCAUUAGGGCCACAAAACUACCCCUGGAAACGCCUACAACCCUAACGAAAGCCUUGUCAAUUGUGUGUGUGCUUAGGUGCUGAAACAUUUGAGAAUGGAAAUAUGACCCCAGCAUCAUUAAGCGAAGUCUGAUGAGUGUUUUCUUUCUUUCAUGGCACAGAAGAAUGAUCAAACUACCAUCAUGGCCAUAAAACUACCCCUGGAAAAGCCUACAACCCUGAUGAAAGCCUUGUCAAAUGUGUGUGCGCUUAGGCACCGAAACGUUUGAGAAUGAAAAUAUGACCCCAGCAUCAGAAAGCGAGGUCUUGGCGUGCAGCGGGCCAGCAAGGUUACCAGGGCACAGGAUCCACUUGACCUGCAUGACGAGUGUGUUGCCGUGUGGGAUCCAUGACGUGCUGCAACCCUCCAACAAGCUUCCGGAGCUGUCCGUCUGAUGGAGAGAAGGGAAGAUUUUGUCAACUCUGAAAUUAAUGUUUCAUUGCUUAUCAAAUGAAAGGAAUGAAAUGGGUUUAGAUUACUUGUUUGAAUACUUACUUGUUUGGUGUUCAUGUUUUUAUCUGCCCCAAAAUUAAGUGAGUAAAUUUGAUUGUGGCUGUGCUGUGUGAGUACUAAUUUAAAGUUGAAUGUUGUCUCACACAGCUUGAUACUUCUGGUUUAUGUAUUGACAUUGUAGGUUGCUACACUGAAUAAGCUGUGGACUGUUUAUUAUUAUAUGUCUGGAAAACUUGAGAUACACUUAAGGAACCUCCAGUUUGUUGGAAAACUUGAGAUACACUUAAGGAACCUCCAGUUUGUUGGAAAACUUGAGAUACACUUAAGGAACCUCCAGUUUGUUGGAAAACUUGAGAUACACUUAAGGAACCUCCAGUUUGUUUCUCUAAAAACAAAUGGUUUCUCUAAAAACAAAUGCUGACAGUAUUUCUCCGGAGACUCUUAGAAGUAUUAUUGACUUAGUAUAGUUUUCACGGCCUACAAUAAUUUGAUUUUCAGCAUUUUUUGUUGCAUAUAUGUGUCUAUGAAAAUAGUAUAUAGUUUUCGAGGCCUACAAUGAUUUAAUUUUCAGCAUUUUUGUUGCAUAUUUAUGUUUAUGAAAAUAGUAAUUAAUGAAGUAUAUAUAAGAUAACUAAAACAUGUUCAAUGCUAUAGACUGCUGAAUGGCUUAAUUGUAUUUACAUAUUUUUAUUGUUUACUGAAGUGGGUACCUUUAACAGAACAAUUAAAUUAGAAAGUUUU